AAACAUAAUAACCAGAUUGGCUACUACCAGAGCCAGAAAGAAGCAAGCUCUCAUGGUGAAGCUAUACUAUAUAGAGCUUCACAUGCCGAUCAGAUAGCUCAGUAUGCUCACAGAGAUCGCACAUAGUGAGCGUAGUCGUCGUCCAUGUCUUGAUGAUAAUCUUCAUUAGAACCUCCACCAGAAAGUCCACCAUAUCCUGAAUCAGACAUGUCAUCAUAUAGGUAGAUGCCUUUCUUUUGCACUGAGAGACACACCAUGGCACUAACAUUCUGAAAUGCAGCUAUAGUGUCAUGAAUCUUUAGGAGAUUUUCUAGUUAAGAUGUCCAUAUUCAGCCUAAGGAAACUAUUUGUAGUAACAAAGAUGAGUCUCGUAGCUACAUAUUGAUUUUUAACAGUUUUUUUGUAUCAAGAAAAUAACGAAGUUGAUGUUUAGGUUUGUUAUUUAAUUUUUUUAAAUGAUGCUAUGUUUCUGUCAACAUCGGAUAUAUAACGAGCUGAAUUGUUACCUUUUGAAGAUGUGAAUCAGAUAUUGUAUUUUUUUCUUUUGAAUUGAAUAGUGUUUGGACGCACAAACAUCUAAAUAGGAAAUUGAAUCACAACUAAAAUAUAAAUAAGUAGACAGAGUAAUAUAUUUUAUUUCCUCUGUAGCUAGCACCUGAAUAAUAUCUCAAGUUUCAACCUCAUCACAUGGAACCUAACCAAGUUCAGGAAAGUAACAAUGAAUACAUAAUUCACUAUCUGUCUUCUUUUCAAUAAGAAAUUGGCCGAAGCCAUCCAAAUUGCAAACGAACAUUGUGAAGACAACCACAAUCAAAAUAGGUGUUUUGUCAAAUGGAACCACAAUCAAAAAGCAUGAAGCCUAUGAAAGUAGUGGGAAAUGCAGACUAACCACCCUUGUUAUGAGCACAGAGCCUAUUCAACAAGAAGCUACACCUUUUACGGUUUUUGGCAGUUUCAGCAGAACUAAGCAAUGGAAAGAACCUAUCUCCUGUUGGACACGGAAAACAAAACACACGCUAAGGGAACAAGGCCUGUCUAGCAAGGCAUGUGGAAAGAAAUGAACAGCAUCAACAGAGUUAAGGAACAUACGCUUCCUCUUUCGAACAACGGGAGCAAGAGGCCUCAGAUGUAUAAAAGGUUAUAAUGAAGGUUAAGAAAGAAUAGGUAAAGCGUCAUAGAAAGAAACAUCAUACAGAACACCUAAGAUAGACAAUCUUUGGUAAAUCCACAACACCUACGAUCGUCAUAGGUAAGCGAGAACUAAAAAACAUAAAACCAAAUAGGCUAAAGACACAGAGAUUAUUCGAACUACCAUCAUGAAGCAAGUAAAUAAACGUGGGCAGUACGUGACCACUAAACAUGGAUAAGGCAAUAAGAGCACCUCUCACAACUAAACAGAAGACACUGACGCUAAAAGGCUCGGGUACAACAGUGCUAGGUCACGAGGCGGGUGUGGCUCGUAGAGGCCCAAUUUUUUUUAUCUGCGGCAUUGGCAAGACAUCGCUCCCAGGAACUUCAAUUUCUACCCCAGCAAGGACAUGCCCAUCUCCAUCUACCUUACAGUAGCUAGGAGGAGGCAAAUCACGGUGCGCCGCCAUUGUUUUUAGAAUCGUUCUCACGAAGGUCUGGGCAGAUUCAAA
rnacentral:lncRNA from 1 species